AUUGAACGCAGGCGGCAGGCCUAACACAUGCAAGUCGAGCGAGCGGCGGACGGGUGAGUAAUGUCUGGGAACCUGCCUGAUGGAGGGGGAUAACUACUGGCAACGGUAGCUCAUACCGCAUACAAUCGGAUGAGCCCAUAUGGGAUUAGCUAGUAGGUGGGGUAAUGUCUCACCUAGGCGACGAUCCCUAGAUGGUCUGAGAGGAUGAACAGCCACACUGGGACGGAGACACGGCCCAGACUCCGACGGUAGGCAGCAGUGGGGAAUAUUGCACAAUGGGCGCAAGCCUGAUGCAGCCAUGCGGCGUGUGUGAAGAAGGCCUGCGGGUUGUAAAGCACGUUCAGCGGGGAGGCGUUACCCGCAGAAGAAGCACCGGCUAACUCCGUGCCAGCCGCCGCGGUAAUUC
rnacentral:rRNA from 1 species